UACGUAGGGGGGCGAGCGUUGUCCGGAUUUAUUGGGCGAAAGAGCGUGUAGGCGGCCAGGUAGGUCUGCUGUGAAAACUCGAGGCUCAACCUCGAGACGUCGGCGGAAACCAUCUGGCUAGAGUCCGGAAGAGGAGAGUGGAAUUCCUGGUGUAGCGGUGAAAUGCGCAGAUAUCAGGAAGAACACCCGUGGCGAAGGCGGCUCUCUGGGACGGUACUGACGCUGAGACGCGAAAGCGUGGGGAGCGAACAGG
rnacentral:rRNA from 1 species